rnacentral:lncRNA from 1 species
AAAUCAUUCACCUUCCCCCAGCCUCAGUUUUCCCUUCUAUAAAAUGGAGAGAUGGUACGCAAUGUGAGGAUUAGAGGUAGUAAAUGUCCCUUGCCUGUAGUUAGUUAACUGAAUACCUAAUAUGAGUUAUUGUUAUUUUACAGAUGAGGAAACAGUUUCACAGAGAUGAUGUCACCUCCUUAAAAUCACAUUACAGGUGACUGCUCAUCACAUAGAGAAGCUCUGCCACUUCCUGCCCCACCCCUGUGGAUCUUCUCCGCACCUGCCCUAGUGCCGCUCCAUCCCUCCGGGCUCCUCAUUCCAGAGCCAACCCAGGUACCCUGACUCAGCAAAGUAACAAUGAACAUCCUCCUCCUCCAGGAAGCCUUCCAGGAUUGGACUGCCUUAAGGAACUUCUUCCCACUGUCUUUCUCCAAGGUGUGGCUGGAGCUAAGAGGGAGCCUGGAGAGAGAAGACUUGUCCAAACAUCCCUGUUUUAAAUAUGGGUGGGUUAAAUCCAGGAUGCUCAGUUAAAUCUGAAUUUUAGAUAAACAGUAUGAAUAAUAUUUUAGUGUAAGAAUGCCCCAAAUAUUGCAUGGGACAUACUUAGACUUAAAAAAUAUUUAUUGUUUAUCUUGGAGUUCCUGUCAUAGCACAGCAGAAAUGAAUCCGACUAGGAACCAUGAGGUUGUGAGUUUGAUCCCUGGCCUUGCUCAGUGGGUUAAGGAUCUGGCAUUGCCGUGAGCUGUGGUGUAGGUCACAGAUUGAGCUUGGAUCUGGCAUUGUUGUGGCUGUGGUAUAGGCCAGCGGCUACAGCUUCGAUUAGACCCCUAGCCUGGGAACCUCCAUAUGCCAUGGGUGCGGCUCUAAAAAGACAAAACAUAUAUACAUAUAGUUUGUCUGAAAUUCAAAUUCAGCUGGGCCUCCUGGAUUUUUAUUUGCUAAAUCUGGCAACCCUAAGUAGAGGGAAACUGAGGCCCUGGGAGAGGGAAUGAGUAUCUUC